rnacentral:lncRNA from 1 species
CAAUGCAUUCAGAAGUUUAAAUUAGAAGGUAAACAAAAAAUCUUGUCGGAGCGUUGAAACUCCGGCCAGAUCUCGGCGACCAAUAUUACCUCAGGUACGUGUUCUCCUCUGGCCAUAUGGUAAUUCCUUUUUGCUUCUUUUUCGAGUUCUCUUCCCUUUCUUCUCAAACCUCUCGCGCUCCUCGCCUUUUCUCUUUCUUCUCUUCUUUCCAUCGUUGUUAUCACCGUGGUAACCGUUUUGGAUAAACUGUGGCUUUAGCUCAAGUUUGUUGAGUUUCAACAUGAAAUCUCAACAAACUUCAAAAAGGAAGAGUCGAGCUUUUAGUAAGGUUCUUUGGUUUUAUUUCUGCAGAGUAACAGUGCUCAUUUUUCAGGGUCU